UUCAUCCUUGCAGACUGAGAAGCAGCAAUCCUAUGAAGCAGAACCUAUCUCCUAAGUCCUUCACUAGGAGAAUCUACAAUCUUAUCUUGCCGUGAGAAAUGGAAAUCGUUCUCAGGCCUGUAUUUGCAUAAGAAAGCAUUAAUGGCCUGAAGAAGUGGAUACUUUAUCUCGUUGGGUGAAGAGGAGUUUAUCUCUUUCUGGUAGAAGCAGCGAGAAGCCGUUCAUCGCCCAUUCGCCUUAUAAAUAGCAGCAGGAUAAUCAACAUGGCAAGCACUUACUGGGUCACCGUGCUCACCCUCCUCUCUCACAUUCAAAAACUGCUCCCUGUCGUUAGCGUUCUCACUACAGUGGCUUUGCGACCUUGUUGAGUUCCUCUUCAAAGCAACAUUUAUUGGCAUUCUUCGCUGCUGCCUGACAGCUGUAGCAUCACUGCAGAGUGGAGCCAUGGCCACGGUGGAAGUGCAAGCAAACAAAGCAGCAUUUUGAAGGUGGAGGUGGACUAUCUCAGCCUGUGCAAGGGCGAGUUGCGCAUGGAGGAGGUUAAUCUGGCGCUGGAGUGAGGAGAUGGAGGCAACACAGCCAUAUACAGGAUCUCUCACCCGCGCAUUCGCUUCAUAAACCAGACUGCUCACGGCAUCGCUCCGCUGCACCAUCGACAGCUCCUGCAGGACAUUUUCACAACAGCAAAUGCUCAGCCUCAGAGGAAGAGAGUGGAGUAAGAAACCUGCAAGAGCUUGCUGACAUUACUGGCUCCGAAGACCUUGUGCACAGUGGCAAACUUCUGUGGCUCAUCUGCGGGGAAGUAAGGUGCAAAUAUGCAAUCCUGCACACAUCUUC